rnacentral:misc_RNA from 1 species
GUUUAGCUUCUAUUUGGAUUUUACAAGUUGCUGCAAUGUCUUCUAGGCUAUCUGAUUGUUUUCUGGUUGUUUAGCUUCUCAUUUGUUCUUGGUUUCAGUUUUGUAUCAGUGUUUGAGUGGGGUUUUUUCAUCAAUAUUUGCGGCUAGUUUCAGGGGGAUCUAUGGGGAGGAUCCCUUGAUCCUGGGCUCUGUAUCUGCUGGUUUCACCACUCUGUUGUUUUCUUCCUUAUUAAUUAUAAUUUUUUGCUGCUUAUUUUUCUUGUUUUGUUGACGCAAAACACACUCCUCGCACAUAGUGAAAAUAGGAAGAAAGUACCCUGCUGGAUUUU